CGCGUUUUUACCUGAGUUGUUGUCACCUGAAUAGUUUCUACACAGUUUUUGCUGACCACGGAGCUUGUCAGAUGGUUUGGUCGUUUAUUUUGUUGAUGGUUGCUACAUGUAUCUUUGUGGCAGGGUUCUGUGAUACUUCAGUAACCAGGUUCACAGGCAGCACGUUGGAUGUGUGUGAUAGAGAGGUGACUUUGAACAGUGUCAGUGCGUUGUGUGUAUUGGUCUUGAUACAACCAGUUAGCCUGAUCCACAAUUGGGCUUCUUAUUUGAGUACAUCUCAACCACAGUACAGAUCAGUUGUUGUAGUUCUUAGAACCCGUACCGCUGAAUGCAAGCUGGAGCCCAGUGACUUUCUACUAAUUAAGUAAUACCUUAUAAGUUCACCUGGGCACAACUGGCGCCCAACAUUAUAUAAUCUACAACACUUAUCGGUAUUUAAAGUGUAAACUGUGCAUUAAUAUCAGUGUAAACUAUACAUUGAUAACAGUGUAAACUGUGCUUUAAUAAUAGUGUCAGAAUUGACAAGACUUUAGUGUAACAAGCACCUGGAAAUUUGUGGUUAGAAAAGUCGACAACUUUACAGUAAACUGCUUUUAAAGUCUUAAUUUUAAAGGAAACAACCGAUCUACAGACACAAACUGUUAACAUUCAGAUAUACCAGUAUCGGUUACAGAUUUUUCAUCUGUUUAAAAAUAGAUUUGAUGAGUGUGAUACUUUUUACUUCUAAUUACCGCAGUUGUGGUGAUUUCAACAAGAAUUUUAACCAUUUAACUUUACUUUUAUUGAAUACUGUAUGGUACUUUGAUGACGUUGUGUUAGUGGAGUGAUGUACAUGCUUUGUUGAUACAUAUAAGAUAUUGUUUGUUGUGUGAUCAAGCGGCCUGUUGAUAGAAUUACAGAUACAGCUUUAGUACAUCCCGGUCAUCGUAUGAGUGAGUACCAUAUUUUUGAGAAAAGUUUUUCAAAUUUGCAGUUGCAUAAAAAUCUUGAACUCGUGUUUACGGUUCAGGUUUCGACAGCUGCAAAUCUGAAAAGUUGCUUAGAAUGAUUAUUGUAGAUUGAGAGAGUAUCACAUUAUAUUUAAAUCUCCUCAAGUGUUUGAAUUGUGAUAGCUGAAAUUUCUGGUCCAAGUUUUUUUGAAGUAAUUGUAAAGGCCAGACUGUUAGACUGUUAAUUUAAUAUUUUAGAUGUCUGCAUUUUCAAUACUGUUGAAUAAUAAUGUAUUGUGGAUAUUUUUACAAGAUUUUCAUUAAGACUGGAAAUCCUUAUUUUCUUAAUCUUGUUUGGAAAGCUGAUGUAACUAUUUUGACAACAAUGUAGAAUAUUUUAAGAAAUAUGGCUUUAAUCAAAUGUUAAUCAGUUUGGCUUCUGAACAAUCUAAUAUAUCUUAGCACCUCUAUUGUUUUGUUAGAGACAGCAGCUUAUACUAAAAGGGUUUAAGACAAGCUGUAGAAAUCUGUCAUGUUUUACUUAAUCUGUUGUGUUUUACUUGAAGUUAAUUACAUUGGUUAAUUUAAAUGAAAAAGGGGACAGCCCCUACUUUCCUGAUUGGACAAUUUAUUCACAGCAUUUUUCAGAAUAUGAAAUCUUUCUUAUGUUAAGGGACUUGAUUUUUAGCAUCAGAACAGUUAAGACAUGAAAAUGUUCUAAUGGCAUAACAUAGCCACAUUGGCAUAAUAAUGACUUUAACUUAGUCAGCCUUAAACAAGAACUGUUCAAAUUAGUUAAUUCUUAAACUUAAAGUUUACAACAGACAUAAUUGGAUUUAUGAUUACAAUAUUGUGAUGUGCAGACUGUUAUUGCUAAGAAUUGUUAUUACUUAAAUAAAACAUAGAAACAUU
rnacentral:lncRNA from 1 species